CUUAACUGACUCAACCACCUAGGCACCCCUCUCAUAAUAAAUAUUUUUAAAAAAUGAAAUAAAAUGGGGACAGCAUUUUUGUCUGAAGAGCCAAGUUCCUGGGUUAACUAAAACAUGAACUUACCCAGAACAUCACAUUCUACUGUUCAUCCAACAAAUAUCUAUUGAGCAAUAUUUAUAUGCUAGCUUUUUUUUGGGGUGGGGGAACUACAGUGAAGACAAUUCCUGCUCUCAAGUGACUUACAGUCUGGGGCGGAGACGUGAAGAAACAGUUUGAGCACCAAAUACUCUGACAGAGCACGCGCACGUGGCUUGGAGGAGAUACAGGUCGGGAUCCCAAGGAAAACAGCCCCGACUCAGCCUUAAGAGGCCAGGCAUGAAGGGAGGCGUGCUCAGAGGACAGAGGUUUGCAGACUAGAACCUUCAGUUCAGACCCAGCCUCACCCUCAAGUGACAUCACAAAGCCUCAGACGCCCCCGCCCACCACCCAGAAGUUUUAUCAAUUAAGCCAUCAGCUCAGGACGGUAUUUGCACUGGAAGCUGUUGUCCAACCUGGCCAAGCACACUUCUCCUCUCCCUGUUCAGUUAUGUCCCAGAAAAAAUGGCGCCAUGCAAGCAACAGGGUCAACAGACGUGUGACUGCAGCUCCUCACCCACUCUGAGGAUAUAACAAAGAGCCGCCUGGUUCUCCUGGUGCAUAGUCGUUGGGGGAGUCUGCUCAUACCACCUAGCUCAGCCCACUAGGAGAACCCUAUGUCUUCCUCACAACUCCCAGCCUUCCUGUGGGACAAGAGCACACUCACCACCGCCACAUCUGACCCUGCUCGCCUAGUAAAGGUUCUCUUCUUCCUUGCACUCCUGAUGACCCUCGUCACUCCACUCAUCCUGGUCUGGAAGGUAACCAAAGACCGAGGCAACAAGAACAGAGAGCCAGACCCGAGAAAGGAAGAUACUCUGCUGGCGUGAAGGUGGACGGUCGCUGCCAAGGCCUCCAUUGAGGGGAAGACUGGAGGCUCAGGAGGCAGUGCCAUCCUGGAGCCAGAACCCGAGGAGGAAGAGCUGCUUUGCGGGGGAGGUCCCCCGGGGAGGGGGGUCCCCCAGGGCCUCCCCCCUCCUCCACCACCACCCAUGUAAUUGACACCCAUCUUGGUGUUCUCUGACUCAUCCAGGCUGCCAGGUUUGAAUGUCUUCUCUCUGUGGCUCUUCUAGACCGAAAUUACAAAUGGCUCUUGAUUUCUGCGUUAACCGAGGAAAAAACAAACAAACACGUGGAGAAUUAAAAAUUGAUUACAAAGCCCACAUCUUCCUUUCUAAAUUGGGCAUGUGUUGACUCUGGGAUAUUGCAAUUAUUGGGAGCUCACAGCAUCUCUGACUAUAUAAUGAAGCUAUACCAGAAGCUGGGUUCCAGAAGAGCCUUGAAAUAGGACAGCUCACCUACUCCAAAUUCUAGGUAAAAUGCUCCCUCCUCUUCACCUAAUUCUAAGAAUAAAAAGUAUUAUUGCUCUCAAAAAAUGA